rnacentral:rRNA from 1 species
UACGUAGGGUGCAAGCGUUAAUCGGAAUUACUGGGCGUAAAGCGUGCGCAGGCGGUUCUAUAAGACAGAUGUGAAAUCCCCGGGCUCAACCUGGGAACUGCAUUUGUGACUGUAGAGCUGGAGUGCGGCAGAGGGGAUGGAAUUCCGCGUGUAGCAGUGAAAUGCGUAGAUAUGCGGAGGAACACCGAUGGCGAAGGCAAUCCCCUGGGCCUGCACUGACGCUCAUGCACGAAAGCGUGGGGAGCAACAGG